ensembl:lncRNA
AUCAAGCACAUUUUUAUGUUUUGAGCUCCAACUUGUGGUUCUCAAAAAAUACCCUGAGCUCUCUUGUCUAAUAUUUUUUGUCUGUUCUGAAUCUUGUGUGUGCAUUGAUUUAUUUUUCAUAACCACUUCUAUGUGAGUCAAAUAAUAUGUAGGAUUCCCUAACAGGAAAACGUUGUAUAUGUCAAUGUCCACUUGGCUAAAACAAAGGUGUCUGUAGAUAGUUGGGCUAAAGCUAGCUGCUAACAGCUAAAGCUCGUUGUGCACACGGUCAAGCGCACCGAACACACCGCUGCUGUCUCCCACUGGAACACGUCGCCCACCAGCGUUCACCAAGACUACUUUCAGCAAUGAUGCAGAGAGCACAGGGAGAGGCGAAACACCAGAUCGAAUAGAGAGAGGAUAAUGGCUGAUGAGAGAACAAAAUCAUGACAGUGGAGAACCAAAGAGUGGAGAAGAGGAAAGGGGAGGAAAUGAAAGAAGACCAACAGAGAAUGAAGAAACAGAGAAAGGGGAGACGGAGAAAGAUGAAAUAGAGGGAGUAAGAGAAGAAACGGGCUGGAGAGUGGAGAAUCUGAAUUAGAAUCUGAAGUAGAGGGAGAUACAGAGGAAGAAGAAUCUGAGACUGAAGACCGAGUGAGAGGAGAAAUAGAGAGCAGAUGCCACCCACAUAUCUGGACAGAUAACAUAAUGCAAUAUAGCCAGGACAGCCUUACAGAGUCUCAACGCUUUGUGUUGCGUUGCUUCGCAUCGCGUUGCAUCGCGUCGAGGUCUGUAUGAUCACAAAAUUCAGAGUUUACCCACCUCUAAUUUUACCACUACAGCACUGGCGAAAAGUGGUCGGUGGUAGGUUCUUCCGGUGGUCGGUGGACGGUUCCUUUGUCCGGACAGCAGGUUCCGGUGGUCGGUGGCAGGUUGCACCCUGGACAAACCGACCACUAGAAAUGGGUUAUUUAGCAUGCGCGGUCGAUACAUAUGUCCCUUUAUUUUUUUAGCAUUGGCAUGCGUCGCCAGCGCCCUACGCUGUGAACGGCAGCUCGCCACAACCUCGCCAGCGUCCUAUGAUGUGAACGGCAGGUCACAUGAACCGUCGCCACCUUCCUUCAUGAUGAAAUUGCACUUUUAUGUUCAUGAUGAAUUGAAGAGUAAGGCAAAUAGCAUUAAAUAGUAAAUAUUAGAGCAUGGUUACUGAAUGACAAACAAAAUUUGUUAUAUUUUACAACUGUGCGGAGUCUGUGAGUUUGGGGACCUAUGACUAUAUCCUCUGGAGUCGGGAGUGGGUCAGAUAUGGCAAUGUCCAGGUUUUUCUAAAAUGUUAUAUACACAUUACAAUUUUAAUCAAUGUAACUUCUAAAUUUAAAUAACUGCUGUCUCCCACUGUACUAGACUGCGGAAAGGAUUUUUAUGCCAAGGCUGGUCGGUCACCAGAAUCCUGAGACGGGAAACCACUUCAUCCUUUGAGUGACGAAACUUCACAGCACGUCAACAGAUACAGGCCAGGGUUAACAAACAACAAUAACCUAAUGAUAACGCAUAACUAACAAAUGUGAAGACUAAAGUAACAUUACCAGGAGCAAUCGUUUAUCAGUUUCUGUGGUAAUUUUUAGCAACAUGCAACAAAGUAUAAAUAUCUUCAAUUUGUAAAAAAAAAAUUGUGUUUAUAAAUUAAAAGAAAAGCAAUAUUCACUUCAGUGGAGUAACUUGAAUUGUUAGACAGGCGUGUUUAAAAUCAAUUUAAAAUGUAUUUGCAUAAGGUCAUCACUGGAUGACAUUUCUGUAACAAAAAUACUUUGGCUAAUACAGUUAUCAUUGUGCAUGCGGAAUACAUUCAUUAUUAUAUGGCAGAUUAUGGUAUUCUUCAUUCAUCAUUUCAUCACUGGUCCAAUAGGUACUUGACUUCAAAAAGGAGGAGAUAUGAGUGUAUGACUCUCUGAGGAUCAGCACCACCAUACCGGAUGAGGCCAUGAAUAUUCUGAGAAAUUUUUCAGGGAACAGGGAGGUCUUGCGGAAUGGAAUGUGUGUUUCACAAAACAAUGGAGGCAGAGAGACAACAAUAACUGCGCUAUUUUUGUGUGCUCAGCAGCUGAGAAUGAGGUGAAAAACCGAGAUGUCAUCCUCAACCAGUGCCAAACUCUCUCCAAGAUGAUAGCAGGGCUUAGCAUUGAGGUAUACAAGGUAUACAAGGAGACUGGACCACGAAAGACUUCCUUUGUGGGUGUCAUCGAGACCCUGGUACAUAUCUGGCAAAAGAGAUACUAGAGUCCACUCAGGUGGACAGUAUUUUAACGGAUCAAGAGAUUGAGGUAAUGACUUUACCUUUGUUCAUUUUGUUUUCUGGUCUAAAACAGAAUUUAUUUAUUGAUUAACUGCGGCAUGUUCGUUUAAGUAAGUUGUCUAUGACUGACAUACAUGUUUGACAAUGAUGACACUAUAAUUUAUUCAGAGUCUGGAGCAAGAUCUGAUGAAAAGAAACAUUCUGUCAAACAGAAUGUAUCUUUAUAAAAAUAAAGGGUGCGAUCGCAAUUUGGAGGCAUUCUAUGCUGACCACCUGUCAGUUUUCGAUGAUCUUAAGGUUAGAUUUACAUUAGCAUUUUAUUUUAAUAUGUGUACACUGUGAUGAAAAUUGGUGGAUAAUGUCCAAUCCUAUUUUAUUUUAAAGCAAUGGUGUUUCAUAGUAUCCAUAAAAUGCAAAUUCAAAGUCAACCUUGAUAUGAAUAAGUCUUUAAUAAAAUUUCAGACUGCACAACUAGCAGGAAUACUGAAAUACAUUGUGGGUAAAAAAGAGCCUGCAGUGGAUAGCGAUACCUAUAUCAAUCAUGUCAUCCUGCCAGAGGUAAGUUGAAACAAAACAAGUAAUAAUUCAAUAUAUUUUACCCAUGGAUUUAAUUACAUUAUGACAGAAUACAGCAUGACCUUAAAAAUGAACGGCAAAUUUAUUUCAGGUAAACAUUGAGUGGCUGAGGCAGAAAUUCUGCAUAUCCAGAUACGAAGCUGGAUGUAUUCUACUCAGCGUAACCAAGACUUAUGUAUAAGCAAAAUUUACCGCAUUAGUAACUGAGAAAUUAAGAUUGCAGUGACAAUUUAAUCAUUCCAAAGUCGUUCUUCUGUGAUGUUUUGGCAAUUAGCCGUAUGAAGAGGAAUUGUCAAACCUUCAUAAAAGAUGUUUCAGCCUUAUGACAUUUCACAUUAAUACAUUUAUACAUCUUUAUAUUUAAAAAUACAUUUUUAAUUAGAACACCUGCAUAUACAUGAAAAGGCAAGACCAAAAUGAUAGUGUCCAACAAAUAUUGAUUGAAUUAUUCUAACAAAUGUUAUAGAAAUGAUUCCAUAACAUGAGAUGGUCACUUUGAGGUUUCACAAAACAAUUUACAGCAGUAUAAGUUAGAACGCAAGAUACAUAGCAGAAAUUUAAACAAAGUCAAGAACUAAAAUUAAAAUAAGCUGUAAUAGGAUAUAGCCCAAAAUAAUACACAAUAACUAAAUUAUUAAUGUGGCCUAUAAACAGACAUAUAUUGUUUAAACUGUUAUUGCAAAGUGUAUUUAUACUGAAAAGAUUUAGAAGUUCUACAAUAUGCACGUUUUCAACAUUAUACUUAAAUUUAUUAUUAAUGCUGCUAAAGCUUUAAUUAAAAAGGAAAAAAAAUUGAAUGCAUUUUCAAUGAAUGACCGGGUUCACCAUGACUCGUCUGAACCCCUGUGUGGGCAGCAGCCAAUGGAGCAGACCGUGAAAACAACACACAUGGAAGCGGUAAAUUGUUUUUCAAUGUUAAUAUAUUUACAAUAAUUGCUGUUUAUAUUGACAUCCACAGACAUCAUGUUGCUACCAGAUGACUAUAUUGUAGAAGUAAAGAAAUAAAAUAAGAAACUUAUUACGGAAUGAUUUCAAACCAAUACUGUUUUUUUCAAAAUAUUUUUCAUAAUGUUACUAUACAGCUCAGUGUGGAACUGUUGGAGGCCAUUUUUGUCGAGGCAGUUCUGCUUGAUGGGGACAAAAUGAUCGGGUCAUUGGCACUAGUGUCCAAAAGAUGGAAGGCUAUUGUCUCUACUGAAGAGUUUCGGAGGAAAGCCUACUAUCGAUGGCUGAAAAGAUUAUAAUUCUGUUGAAGACCAUUUGUCUGCCUACCGGAAAGAUGAUGCCGGAAGUCUUUCGUCUUUCGACAAGG